AUACGGAGGGUGCAAGCGUUAAUCGGAAUUACUGGGCGUAAAGCGCGCGUAGGCGGUUUGUUAAGUCGGAUGUGAAAGCCCCGGGCUCAACCUGGGAAUUGCAUACGAUACUGGCAAACUAGAGUAUGAGAGAGGGAGGUAGAAUUCCAUGUGUAGCGGUGAAAUGCGUAGAUAUGUGGAGGAAUACCAGUGGCGAAGGCGGCCUCCUGGCUCAAUACUGACGCUGAGGUGCGAAAGCGUGGGGAGCAAACAGGAUUAGAUACCCCAGUAGUCC
rnacentral:rRNA from 1 species